rnacentral:rRNA from 1 species
GACGUAGGGUCCAAGCGUUGUCCGGAUUUACUGGGCGUAAAGAGCGCGUAGGCGGUCUGUUAAGUGUAGAGUGAAAUCUCCAGGGCUCAACCCGGAAACUGCUCUGCAUACUGGCAGACUUGAGGGAUGCAGAGGUUUGUGGAAUUCCUGGUGUAGCGGUGAAAUGCGCAGAUAUCAGGAGGAACACCGGUGGCGAAGGCGGUUCUCUGGGCCUUACCUGACGCUGAGGAGCGAAAGCAUGGGGAGCAAACAGG